GGCCUUCUGUAUCCGUGGUGAGAUUUCGUCACACACUAGACAACAAAGGCUGAUGAAACUUCCAAGAUAGGUGAAGCG
rnacentral:pre_miRNA from 1 species